GGCGAACGGGUGAGUAAUGUAUCGGAACGUGCCCAGUAGCGGGGGAUAACUACGCGAAAGCGUAGCUAAUACCGCAUACGCCCUACGGGGGAAAGGGGGGGAUCGCAAGACCUCUCACUAUUGGAGCGGCCGAUAUCGGAUUAGCUAGUUGGUGAGGUAAAGGCUCACCAAGGCUUCGAUCCGUAGCUGGUUUGAGAGGACGACCAGCCACACUGGGACUGAGACACGGCCCAGACUCCUACGGGAGGCAGCAGUGGGGAAUUUUGGACAAUGGGGGAAACCCUGAUCCAGCAAUGCCGCGUGUGCGAAGAAGGCCUUCGGGUUGUAAAGCACUUUUGGCAGGAACGAAACGGCGCCGGAUAAUACCUGGUGUCACUGACGGUACCUGCAGAAUAAGCACCGGCUAACUACGUG
rnacentral:rRNA from 1 species